AUACUUACCUGGCAGGGGAGAUACCAUGGUCACAAAGGUGGUUUUCCCAGGGACGGGUGUCACUGGUGUACUCAGCAUGUACUGACCCUUGCAAUUUCCCAAACUUUGGGAAUAUUUUAUUAAAUUCGGCAUAAUUUGUGGUGGUGGUGCUGCGUUCCAUACUCUCCCC